rnacentral:rRNA from 1 species
UGUUGUCCUGGGGUAAGCAUGUAGGGCGGAACGUAGGUAAAUCCGCGUUCUAUUCAGCCUGAGAUGUGAUGCCGAGCCGAUUGUGGUGAAGUGGAUGAUCCUAUGCUGCCGAGAAAAGCCUCUAGUGAGUGUUGUGGCGGCCCGUACCCUAAACCGACUCAGGUGGUCAGGUAGAGAAUACCAAGGCGAUCGGGUGAACUGUGGUUAAGGAACUCGGCAAAUUGCCCCCGUAACUUCGGGAGAAGGGGGACCUCUGCUGGUGAUGGGCUUUACGUUCUGAGCUGGUGGGGGUCGCAGUGGCCAGGGGGAAGCGACUGUUUACUAAAAACACAGGUCCGUGCGAAGUCGUAAGACGAUGUAUACGGACUGACGCCUGCCCGGUGCCGGAACGUUAAGGGGACCGCUUAGCCAACGCGAGUUGGCGAAGGUGAGAACUUAAGCGCCGGUAAACGGCGGUGGUAACUAUAACCAUCCUAAGGUAGCGAAAUUCCUUGUCGGGUAAGUUCCGACCUGCACGAAUGGCGUAACGACUUCCCCGCUGUCUCAACCACAGACCCGGCGAAAUUGCACUACGAGUAAAGAUGCUCGUUUCGCGCAGCAGGACGGAAAGACCCCGGGACCUUCACUACAGCUUGACAUUGGCGUUUGGAACGUCUUGUGUAGGAUAGGUGGGAGACUGGGAAGCUGUCACGCUAGUGAUGGUGGAGUCAUUGGUGAAAUACCACUCUGGUCGUUUUGAACGUCUAACUCUGGUCCGUGAUCCGGAUCGGGGACAGUGUCUGGUGGGUAGUUUAACUGGGGCGGUUGCCUCCUAAAGAGUAACGGAGGCGCCCAAAGGUUCCCUCAGCCUGGUUGGCAAUCAGGUGUUGAGUGUAAGUGCACAAGGGAGCUUGACUGUGAGACUGACAGGUCGAGCAGGAGCGAAAGCUGGGACUAGUGAUCCGGCAUCGGCGUGUGGAAGCGGUGUCGCUCAACGGCUAAAAGGUACCCCGGGGAUAACAGGCUGAUCUUCCCCAAGAGUCCAUAUCGACGGGAUGGUUUGGCACCUCGAUGUCGGCUCGUCGCAUCCUGGGGCUGGAGUAAGUCCCAAGGGUUGGGCUGUUCGCCCAUUAAAGCGGUACGCGAGCUGGGUUUAGAACGUCGCGAGACAGUUCGGUCCCUAUCCGCUGCGCGCGCAGGAGACUUGAAGGGGGCUGUCCCUAGUACGAGAGGACCGGGACGGACGAACCUCUGGUGUGCCAGUUGUACCGCCAGGUGCACGGCUGGUUGGCUACGUUCGGAAGGGAUAACCGCUGAAAGCAUCUAAGCGGGAAGCUCGCCUUGAGAUGAGGUCUCCCACCCCGUGAGGGGGUAAGGCUCCCGGUAGAUCACCGGGUUGAUAGGCCGGAGGUGGAAGCACGGUAACGUGUGGAGCUGACCGGUACUAAUAGGCCGAGGACUUGACCUC